rnacentral:rRNA from 1 species
UACAGAGGUCCCAAGCGUUGUUCGGAUUCACUGGGCGUAAAGGGUGCGUAGGCGGUCGGAUAAGUCUGAUGUGAAAUCUUCGAGCUCAACUCGGAACUGCAUCGGAAACUAUUCGGCUGGAGGAUUGGAGGGGAGACUGGAAUUCUCGGUGUAGCAGUGAAAUGCGUAGAUAUCGAGAGGAACACCAGUGGCGAAGGCGAGUCUCUGGACAAUUCCUGACGCUGAGGCACGAAAGCUAGGGGAGCAAACAGG